UACGAAGGGGGCUAGCGUUGUUCGGAUUUACUGGGCGUAAAGCGCACGUAGGCGGAUCUUUAAGUCGGAGGUGAAAUCCCAAGGCUCAACCUUGGAACUGCCUUUGAUACUGGGGAUCUUGAGUCCGGGAGAGGUGAGUGGAACUGCGAGUGUAGAGGUGAAAUUCGUAGAUAUUCGCAAGAACACCAGUGGCGAAGGCGGCUCACUGGCCCGAUACUGACGCUGAGGCACGAAAGCGUGGGGAGCAAACAGG
rnacentral:rRNA from 1 species